AUUUUCAGGGGUUGUUUACCAGAGGUAUCACGGAUCUGCAAAGAAAGCUUUUGUGCAUUGUUGAGAACACCAGACGAGUGAGGAUGCAGAUUGAUGUGGCGAGGACUGAUUGUUGCGGAGCGUCGGUGGUAUGCCCAUAGGUCUACACAAAUGACCAACAAAUACGGACACUUCGUUUGAGGAAAAUGGGCUACAAUUCUUCAGCCAAGAACAUAUUAGGCGUGCAGCAAAUGGUUAUUAUUUCCACGAGUUGGAAUUAUUCUCUAAAUGUAAAUGGUAUAAUAUGUCCUAGGCUUUCCAUGGAGUAUCUAAGUGUGAGAUUGGCUCGGUGGUUUUGCCUCACUGUUCAGUUUAGUAGUGUCUAGAACUGAAUUCUUGCUGCACACAACAAUCUCUUGUGCAUUUUUUGA